AGUCAAGCAAACAAGUGCAUCAGGUGGAUGCCUUGGCGAUGAUAGGCGAAGAAGGACGUGUAAGCCUGCGAAAAGCGCGGAGGAGCCGGCAAAAAGGCAACGAUACCGCGAUGUCCGAAUGGGGAAACCCACACACUUUGGUGUGUAUCCCAAACCGAAUCCAUAGGUUUGGCGAAGCGAACCGGGAGAACUGAACCAUCUAAGUACCCCGAGGAAAAGAAAUCAACCGAGAUUCCGCAAGUAGUGGCGAGCGAACGCGGAAAAGCCUGUACGUGAUAUUCAUUGAGAUAGAAGAAAGACUUGGAAACGUCUGCCAUAGCGGGUGAUAGCCCCGUAUUCGAAAUCCCAUUGGAAGUACUAAGCGUACGACAAGUAAGGCGGGACACGUGAAAUCCUGUCCGAAGACGGGGGGACCAUCCUCCAAGGCUAAAUACUCAUCAUCGACCGAUAGUGAACCAGUACCGUGAGGGAAAGGCGAAAAGAACCCCGGGAGGGAGUGAAACAGAACCUGAAACCUGAUGCAUACAAACAGUGGGAGCCCCGUAUGGGGUGACUGCGUACCUUUUGUAUAAUGGGUCAACGACUUACAUUCAGUAGCGAGCUUAACCGGAUAGGGGAGGCGCAGGGAAACCGAGUCUUAAUAGGGCGCCAAGUUGCUGGGUGUAGACCCGAAACCGAGUGAUCUAUCCAUGGUAAGGAUGAAGGUGCGGUAACACGCACUGGAGGUCCGAACCCACGCAUGUUGCAAAAUGCGGGGAUGAGCUGUGGAUAGGGGUGAAAGGCUAAACAAACUCGGAGAUAGCUGGUUCUCCCCGAAAACUAUUUAGGUAGUGCCUCAUGUAUCACUUCCGGGGGUAAAGCACUGUUAUGGCUAGGGGGUCAUUGCGACUUACCAACCCAUGGCAAACUCAGAAUACCGGAAAGUGCAAUCAUGGGAGACAGACAGCGGGUGCUAACGUCCGUUGUCAAGAGGAAACAACCCAGACCGCCGGCUAAGGUCCCAAAUGACAGAUUAAGUGGUAAACGAAGUGGGAAGGCACAGACAGCCAGGAUGUUGGCUUAGAAGCAGCCAUCAUUUAAAGAAAGCGUAAUAGCUCACUGGUCGAGUCUUCCUGCGCGGAAGAUGUAACGGGGCUCAAAUCUGUAACCGAAGCCGCGGAUGCGUUUUUACGCAUGGUAGGGGAGCGUUCUGUAAGCCUGCGAAGGCAGACUGUAAAGUCUGCUGGAGGUAUCAGAAGUGCGAAUGUUGACAUGAGUAGCGAUAAAGCGGGUGAAAAGCCCGCUCGCCGAAAGCCCAAGGUUUCCUACGCAACGUUCAUCGGCGUAGGGUGAGUCGGUCCCUAAGGCGAGGCAGAAAUGCGUAGCCGAUGGGAAACGGGUUAAUAUUCCCGUACUUUGAUUCAAUGCGAUGUGGGGACGGAGAAGGUUAUGCCGGCAGACUGUUGGAAUAGUCUGUUCAAGCACGUAGGUGGAAAGAGUAGGCAAAUCCGCUCUUUCUCAACACCGAGAUGCGAUAACGAGCAACCAAGGUUGCGAAGCGGCAAAUACCACGCUUCCAGGAAAAGCCACUAAGCUCCAGUUGAAUCAGAACCGUACCGCAAACCGACACAGGUGGGCAGGAUGAGAAUUCUAAGGCGCUUGAGAGAACUCGGGAGAAGGAACUCGGCAAAUUGAUACCGUAACUUCGGGAGAAGGUAUGCCCUUUCAGGUGAAGGACUCGCUCCGUAAGCCAGAGAGGCCGCAGAGAAUAGGUGGCUGCGACUGUUUAUUAAAAACACAGCACUCUGCCAACACGAAAGUGGACGUAUAGGGUGUGACGCCUGCCCGGUGCUGGAAGGUUAAUUGAAGAUGUGCAAGCAUCGGAUCGAAGCCCCAGUAAACGGCGGUACCGUAACUAUAACGGUCCUAAGGUAGCGAAAUUCCUUGUCGGGUAAGUUCCGACCCGCACGAAUGGCGUAACGAUGGUACCACACUGUCUCCUCCCGAGACUCAGCGAAGUUGAAAUGGUUGUGAAGAUGCAAUCUCCCCGCUGCUAGACGGAAAGACCCCGUGAACCUUUACUGCAGCUUUGCAUUGGACUUUGAAGUCACUUGUGUAGGAUAGGUGGGAGGCUGUGAAACAGAAACGCCAGUUUCUGCGGAGCCGUCCUUGAAAUACCACCCUGGUGGCUUUGAGGUUCUAACCCAGACCCGUCAGCCGGGUCGGGGACCGUGCAUGGUAGGCAGUUUGACUGGGGCGGUCUCCUCCCAAAGCGUAACGGAGGAAGUUCGAAGGUUACCUAGGUCCGGUCGGAAAUCGGACCGAUAGUGCAAUGGCAAAAGGUAGCUUAACUGCAAGACCAACAAGUCGAGCAGGUGCGAAAGCAGGACAUAGUGAUCCGGUGGUUCUGUAUGGAAGAGUAGCCAUCGCUCAACGGAUAAAAGGUACUCCGGGGAUAACAGGCUGAUUCCGCCCAAGAGUUCAUAUCGACGGCGGAGUUUGGCACCUCGAUGUCGGCUCAUCACAUCCUGGGGCUGUAGUCGGUCCCAAGGGUAUGGCUGUUCGCCAUUUAAAGUGGUACGUGAGCUGGGUUUAAAACGUCGUGAGACAGUUUGGUCCCUAUCUGCAGUGGGCGUUGGAAGUUUGACGGGGGCUGCUCCUAGUACGAGAGGACCGGAGUGGACGAACCUCUGGUGUACCGGUUGUGACGCCAGUCGCAUCGCCGGGUAGCUAAGUUCGGAAGGGAUAAGCGCUGAAAGCAUCUAAGCGCGAAACCCGCCUGAAGAUGAGACUUCCCCGUGGGUAUAACCCACCUGAAGGGUCGUUGGAGACCACAACGUCGAUAGGCAGGGUGUGGAAGCACAGCAAUGUGUGAAGCUAACCUGUACUAAUUGCCCGUGCGGCUUGACUCU
rnacentral:rRNA from 1 species